rnacentral:tRNA from 2 species
GGGGGCUUGUUCUAGCGGCUAUGAUGCUGGCCUCCAAAACCAUGCGACGAAGGUUCGAGUCCUUCAGCCCCUGCCA